rnacentral:lncRNA from 11 species
GUGUUUGAAAGGUUUUGUUUCUGGAACCAUAUGCAGAGUCCUGGAGUUACAAAUGUGCAAUUUAUUGCUGAGCUAAAACUGAAAGCAGCCAGCUGUGAAUUUGGAAUGGCAGUUAAUGAGAUGAUAAGAGAUAAAGUUGUUUUUAGUUUACAGCAAGAGAAACUGAAACAAAAGUUGUUACAAGAAGCCGAUCUUACACUUGAGAAGGCCGUGGAGAUAUGCUGGGUUGAUGAGACAAUGAGAGCUCAGCUGAGAACCAUGGCAAUAACAUCGGAAGAAGGAGUGUUUGAAUUACAAGACAGCCAUGGAGAAAACAAAGAGAUUAUAACUCAAGCUCUGGGAACCAGGGAGUCAAGACACAGAGACAAUUGGAAAAAUCAGAAUAAGUGUGGUUAUUGUGGUACAGCUCAUGAACCUUGGAGAUGUCCAGCAUUUGGAAAGACCUGCAACAAGUGUGGCAAGAAAAAUCAUUAUGCCAGGUUAUGCAGGUCAAGGGUGACCAAUCCUGUGAAUAUACAAGCCAGACAACACAUUCAUGAGUUGAAUGAUUCCUAUUAACGUGCGUCAAGAUCUACAAAGAGCUCAGGAAAGACAAAAACAUUUUUAUGAUCGAACAGCAAGACCCCUCAAACCACUAAGAGAGGGAGAUUUGGUAUGGAUGCAAUCUAAUAAUUGCAAAGAAAGAUGGCUUCCUGCCGUUGUGAUAGAAAAAUGUAAACAACCUCGGUCAUAUCUAAUAAAGAAUCAGGACGGUCGCGUAUAUCGGCGUAAUAGGCGUCAAUUAAAACAACGGAACCAAAUACCCGAAACUACAAUUGAAGGAAAUACAACAUAUAAUGGUUCUAAAGGGAUGUUUGUGAACAAAAGUGACGCACAUGUAAUAGCAGUUAGAAAGCCAACGUAUGUGACAUCGCAUGGCAGGCCUGUGUUUGAACCUGUAAGGUACACUCCUUAGAAGGAUGGUGCUGAAGACCAUCCUCAACGGUGGGCUAAGUACUAGUGACCUCUGGCCCCAUAGAAGACAUAUUUUCUUACCUGUCUAGUGAUGUAAUGAAGCUGCCAAGUUUUAAUGAGAGACUUUUGUAAUUUUGAUGUAUGAUUUUUUUAACACUUUUAUAAAAUGUAUUUUGUUUUGUCUUGUCAGAUGUGUAGUUAUUAUGUAUGAAGGGGAGAUGUGGUAUACUGUGCCUUUAAGCCACACUCUCUGGUUGUUACAGCUGUAAUGUAAGAACUACUGAUUGCUGGGAUAUAUAGCUUUUGUGCACCCAAAGCCUCAGUAGCCUUCCUAAUGUUUGGAAUAAACUCUUUCCUACAAGACUCUGCUGGCUGUUGAGCUUCCUUCAUACAAAGAAUAUUACACACCUAGCACAUCGAAAACAG